ACGACUAUACUUGAACAGGAUCUGUUCUAUAGUGCGUACAUCUGAUCUGUGUUCUCCAACAUAGACAAGACCUUCACCCCGGACGAUGCUUCAGGGCUCUCCGGCCUGAGCGCGAUUGCCGCGGGUUGGUGUCCAGUGGCCCCCUCGCGGGGUCCGACCCCAGCCUGCCAGAUGAACGUCCCGCCCCCUCAUUCCCGGGAGCGGUGAUGGCCGGAGAGCGUUCUGACGGGCA
rfam:Physcomitrella patens subsp. patens PHYPAscaffold_234 genomic scaffold, whole genome shotgun sequence.